CAAUCAAGCCAUUUCUUUCUCAAGGGGAACUGAGUGAUUUGCAGGGUUUGGGGAAGGUUGCCUGUGCCUAAAGCAUCAUUCCGUCCCACUCUGGUGCUGUGCACGGAGCUCGACUAUCCUGAAUCCACCAUGAUUCGACCUCAUGUCAGUCCUUUGGCUGCCAGCCCAGUUCAACUCCAAGCUGAUGACCAGUGUCGACCGCCAGUCAUUCUGAACAUUUGACCAGUUGAGCUUUCAAAUGAUGGCAGUCCUGGCUGACAUUUUGGGUGAACAAUAUGAGAGACUGACUGGUUGAGCCCUUCCCAAAUUUCUGACCCACAACAUUGUGAGAAAAAUAAUCUUAAGCCUCUCAGUUUGGGGACAAUUUGUUACUCAGCAAUAGAAAUGAAAAUAUGAUCUCAGUAGGACCAUGUGACUUGCAGCAACCAGGGUGACAAUGAACGUCCCUGCAGAUACCCGAGGAGGGGACGCAUGAAGGUUCCCUAGGUGCCCUGUAAAUCUACAGCUUCCUGCUUUCCUCUGCCACAAACACAUGACACGCUGUACCUCUACACCUAAUCUUUUGGUUUGGAAAGGAACGGAAGGUGAUAGAAAUCUGAAAGUUGCGACUGAGGUUUACCAUCCUAAACACAUUAUUUCAGGAGACUAACUCCAAGAUGAUUGGCAUGAACUAGAAUUUUUCUCCCCUUUCUUAUAAAGCAAAUGGGACAGCUCAGGAGGAAGAUCGGAGCAGUUAUAUACAAAAAAUUAACACACAAAUGAAGCAACCACGUGGCCUCUGUGUAUAUGGAGAAAAGUGUGAGCAAAUGUGGGGCCCUAAUACAGAAUGUCAGCCAGGAAGACGAGGAAGGCAGACCUCCCUAGAACAGUGGUACAAGACAUUGGUGGUCAUCUUAACAGAUGUGCACUGACUGAUAUCCUUCAGAAUAGGAAGGAAAUGUGAGAUCUUAAGAAGGAAUUCUAGGGGAGGUCUCAGCUUUACCCCCUGUGACUUGCACUUGGUCAGUAUACAACUUAUUCUUCCCACCAGAGUGAUAGAAAGA
rnacentral:lncRNA from 10 species